rnacentral:rRNA from 1 species
UACGAAGGGGGCUAGCGUUGCUCGGAAUUACUGGGCGUAAAGGGCGCGUAGGCGGCGCUGCAAGUCAGGCGUGAAAUUCCUGGGCUUAACCUGGGGGCUGCGCUUGAGACUGUGGUGCUAGAGGAUGGAAGAGGCUCGUGGAAUUCCCAGUGUAGAGGUGAAAUUCGUAGAUAUUGGGAAGAACACCGGUGGCGAAGGCGGCGAGCUGGUCCAUUACUGACGCUGAGGUGCGAAAGCGUGGGGAGCAAACAGG